CAAUAGCGGAGGAAAAGAAACCAACAGGGAUUGCCCCAGUAACGGCGAGUGAAGCGGCAACAGCUCAGAUUUGAAAUCUGGCCCCUUUGGGGUCCGAGUUGUAAUCUGUAGAGGAUGCUUUUGGCGACGCGCCUUCCGAGUCCCCUGGAACGGGGCGCCAGAGAGGGUGAGAGCCCCGUAUGGUCGGACGCCGAACCUCUGUAAAGCUCCUUCGACGAGUCGAGUAGUUUGGGAAUGCUGCUCAAAAUGGGAGGUAAAUUUCUUCUAAAGCUAAAUACCGGCCAGAGACCGAUAGCGCACAAGUAGAGUGAUCGAAAGAUGAAAAGCACUUUGAAAAGAGGGUCAAAUAGCACGUGAAAUUGCUGAAAGGGAAGCGCUUGUGACCAGACUUGCGCCCGGUUGAUCAUCCAGCGUUCUCGCUGGUGCACUCUGCCGGGCUCAGGCCAGCAUCGGCUCUCCCAGGGGGAUAAAGGUCGCGGGAACGUAGCUCUCUCCGGGGAGUGUUAUAGCCCGUGGCGGAAUGCCCUUAGGGGGGGCCGAGGCCCGCGUUCGCAAGGAUGCUGGCGUAAUGGUCACCAGCGACCCGUCUUGAAACACGGACCAAGGAGUCAAGCAUUAGGGCGAGUCUUUGGGUGCAAAACCCGCAGGCGCAAUGAAAGUGAACGGAGGUGAGAGCUUCGGCGCAUCAUCGACCGAUCCUGAUGUUCUCGGAUGGAUUUGAGUAAGAGCCUUACCGCUUGGACCCGAAAGAUGGUGAACUAUGCCUGAAUAGGGUGAAGCCAGAGGAAACUCUGGUGGAGGCUCGCAGCGGUUCUGACGUGCAAAUCGAUCGUCAAAUUUGGGCAUGGGGGCGAAAGACUAAUCGAACCAUCUAGUAGCUGGUU
rnacentral:rRNA from 1 species